UAAUACGGAGGGUGCAAGCGUUAUCCGGAUUUAUUGGGUUUAAAGGGUCCGUAGGCGGAUCUGUAAGUCAGUGGUGAAAUCUCACAGCUUAACUGUGAAACUGCCAUUGAUACUGCAGGUCUUGAGUGUUGUUGAAGUAGCUGGAAUAAGUAGUGUAGCGGUGAAAUGCAUAGAUAUUACUUAGAACACCAAUUGCGAAGGCAGGUUACUAAGCAACAACUGACGCUGAUGGACGAAAGCGUGGGGAGCGAACAGGAUUAGAUACCCUGGUAGUCCACGCCGUAAACGAUGCUAACUCGUUUUUGGGUCUUUAAGAUUCAGAGACUAAGCGAAAGUGAUAAGUUAGCCACCUGGGGAGUACGUUCGCAAGAAUG
rnacentral:rRNA from 1 species